CUCCUUGUUUCCAUGGGCUGGAUGAAAGGGUCGGUUGAGUCCCAGGAGGAAAAGCCUGGAUCUUCUAAAUCUAUGCCUCCAGUCCUAGUUUGCUCCAAGCUGCCGCUUGCGGAGGGCGCUGAAAGGCUGUCCUGCUCCAGGGCUCACGUCAAUCAUCAAUAGCGGGUGAUGAAGACGUGUGUCACAUCCAUCAUUCCGGAGCUGCCUGGUCCAGGUUUACCUGUGUCACUCUCGGAGAUGGGAAGGAGCAGAGAAGCUGCCGAAGGAAAACCGGUAGGAUUUGUGCAGGUUCUGGUGAGGAAAAGCGAUGAGGAAGGUGCAGAUGUCAGCCUGAACCGGCAAGGCUGGAAACCAUUAAGUUCGGAAAAGCCCUCUAAGCUCAUCCAGUCCAACCAUCAGCCCAACACCUUCAUCCCUACUAAACUAUGGCCCAACGUGCCACGUCUACACACUUUUUGAACCCCCUCCAAGGAUGGAGGCUCCACCGCUGCCCUGAGCAGCCUCCGCCAGGUCUUUCCAAGCAGGAUUGGCCGUUUGCUCCGGGAGCAUUUGGGCUGUGGGAAGCCCCCAGUCCCAACUGGGAGCGGAUUGGGAGCCUCUGAUGCCCAACACCUUGCCCCCGCCCUGGGCGCUGCCGGCACCAGCAAGUAAAUAACACAAUUAAUAAAAGAUUAGGAUGAAAUGUGAGGCAUUAAAUAUUUAACCUCGUGGCUGCCUGCGCGCUGCCCAGGUACAGCUGGUUCCUGCAAUAUUGAAAGAUUAUUCCUCACUCGCCCUUCUUCACCCCUCCCGCAAGCGUGGUGACUUCAUGGUGGCUUUGGCU